GACGUAGGGCGCGAGCGUUGUCCGGAUUUAUUGGGCGUAAAGGGCUCGUAGGCGGUUUGUCGCGUCGGGGGUGAAAACCUUGGGCUUAACUCAGGGCUUGCUUUCGAUACGGGCAGACUAGAGGUAUGCAGGGGAGAACGGAAUUCCUGGUGUAGCGGUGAAAUGCGCAGAUAUCAGGAGGAACACCGGUGGCGAAGGCGGUUCUCUGGGCAUGAUCUGACGCUGAGGAGCGAAAGUGUGGGGAGCGAACAGG
rnacentral:rRNA from 1 species